CGGGAAUCAGAUGCGGUUACAAGCUUGUUUUGAACAAAAUGUCGAAAUCUAACUAUUACAAACCUAGCUUCGCCCACCCACUAAACCCGGCACGUUCCGCUAGGUUGUUUUUCGAAAUCCUUCGAUAUCGGUAGCCGUUCUCAACCAUCAACGUAACUCUCGGGAAAGUGAGGUUCUCCUCGUUUCCUCGGAUGCCGGGAGUUCCCUUGACGUUUCUGGAGUAGCUAGUUCCCGAUGAUCUCCACGAAGCUCACAACUUUCUCUGUCAAUGAAGCUCUAGACGUCCGAAGGGGAGAGUUCAAGUACAUACCAGAGCCUUGCCAACAACAAAGCCGGAAUGAACGAAGCGCCACACGACGCCUGAACCGGAUCCCAGAACGAGUAAGUACUCGCUUCAGCCAUCAACGAAACCUAAACAAAAGACGGGUUGUCUACACCGCCACAUCCUGAAAAGCAGUCCCAAAACCUGCAAGAAAGUCAGCUACACCACCAUAGAACACUACGGUGCCGGGAUGUGAGCUAUGACGAGAUGCUGGCUCGUAGAAGGCAAUGACUCCCGAGAAACCAUCUACGCCCCUGGCCUUUCAGAACCAAAGGACCAGUUCCUUGAACGCUAACAAAUCAACCCAUGAGCCAUAGGAUUGAUACCACGAUGAAGAACAGGAGACUUGACUCCUCAAGUGAGGCCGUCGCCAAACUCACGGAGAAAAACUAAGCAGGACACCGGAAGCGGAGGCUCUGAAAGAGAUGCAGUACAUCUAGCAACCUUCUCAAGGCCAUAGACGACCCGUCGAAGCAUAACUAGAGGCACGCGCACAAGGCAUCAAGCCGGACACUUUCACCACGAUUACAUCCGCCUUUAGCCUCGCCUCCAUCUCAAACAAAGAAUGGAGAACUCUUGAUAACAGCGAGUGGCCACCGGAAUAACUCCGACCCGAAGAAACCCUAAGUAACCACCACCCUCACCGAACAAGCACGAAACACAAGAUCUGCAGCAGAUUACCACCAACAAACCUGGCCGUGCGGAGACCCAUCGCCUCCACUCCACGACGACGAAGACCGGAGCGAUCCUAAAAGGGGAAAGACGGAACGCUCCAUGAACCCAAAACCGACUCUCAAUCUCUCCAUCUCACUGAACCCUCGCUGCAGGUCCGGAGAAAGAGCCACCUCCACCAUGAAUCAGCUACUCGCGACUGAAGCCUCCGCCGGAUUCCGUGAGCCCUAAUCUAGAACUGCGAGCAUAUCGAGCAAAGGAGGAUAGAAGGGGUUGAGAGCAAAGAGAAAAAUGAGGAAAGGGAUGAAAGAGACCCCUCCGGCUCCGGCACUCGCGCGGACGCGCCGGCCGUACGCCGGAGGGUGAGAUUCACGAGUUUUAGAAGGUGAGGUCGAGAGAGAAAUGCGUUA
rnacentral:lncRNA from 1 species